ensembl:lncRNA
AGGAUGGGUGUACUCUGAUUGGCCAGCUCAGACCUGUGCCCGCCUCUGGGCGGGGCUCUCUGUGAUUUGCGAGAACAGUAGUUCUGAAAAAGGAAAGAGGAUUUCUUCCUCUUCUGACCGCUCGGUGAGCAGUCCGCACCCGGAGCUGCUGUCGGAGUGAGGAAUAAUAAUAGCAGCAGCUGUAGGAGUGAGGAAUAAUAAUAGCAGCAGCUGUAGCCGUAACAUUUAUUGAGAGCUUGCUGGGUUCUGGGCAUCGUUCUAAGUGGGUUUCCUAUCAAUUAGCUCAUUUAAUACUUAGCCAUAUUGUGCCGUCGAUUUUUACUUUCAUACAUGCUUUCCAUACCAGCAGCUUCACAGACAGGUGCAGUCACUUGCCCAAGGCCAACACAACUAGUACGCAGCAGAACCUGGUGCCCCACACCCUCGGGCGUCACUCAAGAGUGCGUCCUGGUGCACACAGAAGUUCGCCCUCCAGUUACCUCUCAGUGGUAGAACCAGGUCUCCUGCUCCAGGCUGGGGCUGUCACGUGGCACGGUCAUCCCCCGGUGCACCUAUGAACCUGGGGCAAGUGGAACGCCUGGGCCCAGAUCGUUUAUGGGAAGUUUGCUGUUACCCACAGAGCAGAGAGCAGGGCCCCGAGCCCCAAGAAACAGAAAACAGACGGAGAGGAGUCAGGACAGAAGUGGCUUCUGCAGGACCGUCCAGGGAGUCAGUGCCAACGACUCACCAUCCCUAGGCUGAGGCUGUGGAAUGGACUCUGGGAGCCUCAGACCCCAGCCCCUCCCGCCUUGAUCUUCCACCCUCGCAGAGGGGCCUAAGGCUUUUGAAUAGGGAGUCCUGGGGUAGGCGCCAUUACCCUCCUUUACGGGAUGAAACUGAGGUGGUGCUGGUGACUGGCAACCAGGAAUUUAACUGAAAUCAGUCAGACUCCAGCUGGAACUCGGCGGCAUUUCUCGGGCUAGAUAGCGUCCUGCGAGCUUCUGCCAGCAGAGGGCGAUAGAGGGAAGACCGGGCGGCCGGAGCUGAGACGUGCCCGGCUGCUUCUGGGCUUGAGCAGUAUUUCACCAGCAGUGGGCGCAAAUCACCCCGGGGCAGCAAAGGUUGGCUUCCGCCUCCAGCUUGAUUCGGGGGUCCAGGCUUCAGCCUCCCCGCAGUCUCUUGAUACACUCACAUGAUGACACAGCAUCUCUCCUUGGGGGUGGAGCCCAGUACCAUCCUUUCCUCGGAGCAGUUGGGAUGGUAGCAGCCACUGGAUCCCACCUCUUUUCCAAGGUCCAGAACUCACCUCCAAGCUGCUGCUGCUGCUAAGUCACUUCAGUCGUGUCCGACUCUGUGCGACCCCAUAGACAGCAGCCCACCAGGCUCCGCCGUCCCUGGAAGCCUCCCUUUUAGCGUCUUUUCAUCAUUCCCCCAGCGCUUCAGGUGGGAGUUGCUUCUUGGCUUAGCAUAUAUCUUGGUCCGAACUCAGCGUCCUACUUUUGUUUUUUGAGUCCUCCAGCCCCUGUUUAAUCAAUGUCCUAUCUCACAUUCUGUUAAAAUAACUACUAUGAAACCUGUUUUAUUUAUUUAUUUGGCGGUUUUAGUCCUUUGUUGCAGCAUGCAGGAUUUAGUUCCCUGACCAGGGAUUGAACCCAGGGCCUCUGCAUUGGGAGCGUGGAGUCUUAGCCAUUGGAUCACCAGAGAAAUCUCCGGAACCUCUUUUGUGACUGGACCCUGACUGAUACAGAUGAUUUCCAGAUAAGCGGGAACACAUCAACUUUAUUAAAAUCAGAAGUCAAAGACCCUGUUUUAUAAAUUUUUGCAUAUCCAUAAGGUCUGUCUAGUCAAGGCUAUGGUUUUUCCAGUGGUCAUGUAUGGAUGUGAGAGUUGGACUGUGAAGAAGGCUGAGCGCCAAAGAAUUGGUACUUUUGAACUGUGGUGUUGGAGAAGGCUCUUGAGAGUCCCUUGGACUGCAAGGAGAUCCAACCAGUCCAUUCUGAAGGAGAUCAGCCCUGGGAUUUCUUAGGAGGGAAUGAUGCUGAAGCUGAAACUCCAGUACUCUGGCCGCCUCAUGCGAAGAGUUGACUCACUGGAAAAGACUCUGAUGCUGGGAGGGAUUGGGGCAGGAGGAGAAGGGGACGACAGAGGAUGAGAUGGCUGGAUGGCAUCACCGACUCGAUGGACCUGAGUCUGAGUGAACUCUGGGAGCUGGUGAUGGACAGGGAGGUCUGGCGUGCUGCGGUUCAUGGGGUCGAAAAGAGUCAGACACGACUGAGCGACUGAACUGAACUGAACUAAAGACUGAAUGCUGACUUAUAUAAAUAUUCAGUAAAGGGUUGAGUCAUGUGUAU